AAGCAACGCGCAGAACCUUACCAGCCCUUGACAUCCCGAUCGCGGAAGGUGGAGACACCCUCCUUCAGUUAGGCUGGAUCGGAGACAGGUGCUGCAUGGCUGUCGUCAGCUCGUGUCGUGAGAUGUUGGGUUAAGUCCCGCAACGAGCGCAACCCUCGCCCUUAGUUGCCAGCAUUCAGUUGGGCACUCUAGGGGGACUGCCGGUGAUAAGCCGAGAGGAAGGUGGGGAUGACGUCAAGUCCUCAUGGCCCUUACGGGCUGGGCUACACACGUGCUACAAUGGUGGUGACAGUGGGCAGCGAGACCGCGAGGUCGAGCUAAUCUCCAAAAGCCAUCUCAGUUCGGAUUGCACUCUGCAACUCGAGUGCAUGAAGUUGGAAUCGCUAGUAAUCGUGGAUCAGCAUGCCACGGUGAAUACGUUCCCGGGCCUUGUACACACCGCCCGUCACACCAUGGGAGUUGGUUUUACCCGAAGGUGCUGUGCU
rnacentral:rRNA from 1 species